CGGUAAUACGUAGGGUGCAAGCGUUAUCCGGAAUUAUUGGGCGUAAAGAGCUCGUAGGCGGUCUGUCGCGUCUGCUGUGAAAUCCCGAGGCUCAACCUCGGGCUUGCAGUGGGUACGGGCAGACUAGAGUGCGGUAGGGGAGAUUGGAAUUCCUGGGGUAGCGGUGGAAUGCGCAGAUAUCAGGAGGAACACCGAUGGCGAAGGCAGAUCUCUGGGCCGUAACUGACGCUGAGGAGCGAAAGGGUGGGGAGCAAACAGGCUUAGAUACCCUGGUAGUCCACCCCGUAAACGUUGGGAACUAGUUGUGGGGUCCUUUCCACGGAUUCCGUGACGCAGCUAACGCAUUAAGUUCCCCGCCUGGGGAGUACGC
rnacentral:rRNA from 1 species